UCGGGAAUUUUGGGCAAUGGGCGAAAGCCUGACCCAGCAACGCCGCGUGAAGGAUGAAGUAUUUCGGUAUGUAAACUUCGAAAGAAUAGGAAGAAUAAAUGACGGUACUAUUUAUAAGGUCCGGCUAACUACGUGCCAGCAGCCGCGGUAAUACGUAGGGACCAAGCGUUGUUCGGAUUUACUGGGCGUAAAGGGCGCGUAGGCGGCAAUUCAAGUCAUCUGUGAAAUCUCCGGGCUUAACUCGGAACGGUCAGAUGAUACUGCUUUGCUAGAGUGCAGAAGGGGCAAUUGGAAUUCUUGGUGUAGCGGUGAAAUGCGUAGAUAUCAAGAGGAACACCUGAGGUGAAGACGGGUUGCUGGGCUGACACUGACGCUGAGGCGCGAAAGCCAGGGGAGCAAACGGGGAUUAGAUACCCACGUAGUCCCUGAGCGGGCUGGCAAGGCGCAU
rnacentral:rRNA from 1 species